GAUGAACGCUGGCGGCGUGCCUAAUACAUGCAAGUCGAGCGAACGGACGAGAAGCUUGCUUCUCUGAUGUUAGCGGCGGACGGGUGAGUAACACGUGGAUAACCUACCUAUAAGACUGGGAUAACUUCGGGAAACCGGAGCUAAUACCGGAUGAUAUUUUGAACCGCAUGGUUCAAAAGUGAAAGACGGUCUUGCUGUCACUUAUAGAUGGAUCCGCGCUGCAUUAGCUAGUUGGUAAGGUAACGGCUUACCAAGGCAACGAUGCAUAGCCAACCUGAGAGGGUGAUCGGCCACACUGGAACUGAGACACGGUCCAGACUCCUACGGGAGGCAGCAGUAGGGAAUCUUCCGCAAUGGGCGAAGGCCUGACGGAGCAACGCCGCGUGAGUGAUGAAGGUCUUCGGAUCGUAAAACUCUGUUAUUAGGGAAGAACAUAUGUGUAAGUAACUGUGCACAUCUUGACGGUACCUAAUCAGAAAGCCACGGCUAACUACGUG
rnacentral:rRNA from 1 species